rnacentral:rRNA from 1 species
GAACCAGCAGCUUGGAUGAGUGUAUAACGAAUAAGUCGUAUAAAAUUCUAGAUAGAAAAUUGAUGAUGACUACUAUCUAUCUAUUAGUCUUGACCAAAUUACGUGCCAGCAGUCGCGGUAAUACGCAGAAGACAAGUGUUAAUCAUCUUUAUUCGGUUUAAAGGGUACCUAGACGGGAAAUCAAGCCAAGUAGGGACUAAUUUUCUAGAGUUUUAAGGGAUAAAGUCGAACAUCUGGAGUAGAGAUAAAAUAUUGUAAUACCAGAUGGACGGGUAACGGCGUAGGCAACUUUAUAUUUAAAAACUGACGUUGAGGGACGAAGCCCUGGGUAACGAGAAGGAUUAGAUACCCCAGUAGUCCAGGGAGACAAUUAUGAGUGUCAUAGGCUCGAUAAAUUAGUCUAUAAAUGAAAGUGUAAGCACUCCACCUCAAGACUAAAGCGGCAACGCCCAAAUUGAAAUCAUUAGACCGUUUCUGAAACCAGUAGUGAAGUAUGUUAUUUAAUUCGAUAAUCCGCGAAUAACCUUACCACGUUUUGAAUAGUAUACACAGUAUAUCUACAAGCGCUGCACGGCUGCCUUUAGUUAAUGUCGUGAGAUUUGGUUAACUCCUCUCAUUAACGAAAACCCUUGUUUUAUUUGUUUAUAUAAAACAGUUCUCCGCUAUAUUGGAUAAGAUAACCGGGAUUAAGGCAAGUCAUCAUGGUCUUAAUAGCGUGGGCUAUAGACGUGCCACAUAUGCUUUUACAAAAGGAUGCGAUAUUGUGAAAUGUAGCUAAUCCCCAAAAAAGGACA